GAUGAACGCUAGCGAUAGGCUUAACACAUGCAAGUCGAGGGGCAGCAUGGUCUUAGCUUGCUAAGACUGAUGGCGACCGGCGCACGGGUGCGUAACGCGUAUGCAACUUGCCUCACAGAGGGGGAUAACCCGUCGAAAGACGGACUAAUACCGCGUACACUUGGGAUAGGGCAUCCUGACCCAAGGAAAUGAAAUUCGCUGUGAGAUAGGCAUGCGUCCCAUUAGCUAGUUGGUGAGGUAACGGCUCACCAAGGCGACGAUGGGUAGGGGAACUGAGAGGUUGAACCCCCACACUGGUACUGAGACACGGACCAGACUCCUACGGGAGGCAGCAGUGAGGAAUAUUGGUCAAUGGACGAGAGCCUGAACCAGCCAAGUCGCGUGAAGGAUGACUGUCUUAUGGAUUGUAAACUUCUUUUAUACGGGAAUAACAACAGCCACGUGUGGCUCCCUGCAUGUACCGUAUGAAUAAGCAUCGGCUAACUCCGU
rnacentral:rRNA from 1 species